GUAUAUUUGAGGUGUUAACCUCCAUUGAGUAAUCAAUUCCCAGUUCCUCAUAUGUCCUUGUUCUUAUUUGCCUAAAGCACCUGCUUGACACAGAAUAUCUAUGCAGCAAAGUACUCUUCCAUGAUCCUAUGCUUGUGCCUAUUCUUAACUUCCUUCCAGUGGAAAGAAUGCAUAGCAUUAAUACCACCAACUGGAAUUCCGUUAAUAAAUAGGGCAUAGGCACAGUUACUUCCCCUGCAAAAAAGAAAACCCUGUUAAUAUCAUAAGUUUUCACCCUACUAUCCUCCAAAUGGAUUUGAGUAUGGUGAUCAGGUGUGAACCUUUCUACAGCUUUUUCCUUCCU
rnacentral:lncRNA from 1 species